UAUUGCACAAUGGUGGUAACCCUGAUGCAGCGACGCCGCGUGAAGGAAGAAGUAUCUCGUUAUGUAAACUUCUAUCAGCAGGGAAGUAAAUGACGGUACCUGUCUAAGAAGCCCCGGCUAACUACGUGCCAGCAGCCGCGGUAAUACGUAGGGGGCAAGCGUUAUCCGGAUUUACUGGGUGUAAAGGGAGCGUAGACGGAAGAGCAAGUCUAAUGUGAAAGGCUGGGGCUUAACCCCAGGACUGCAUUGGAAACUGUUGUUCUAGAGUGCCGGAGAGGUAAGCGGAAUUCCUAGUUUAGCGGUGAAAUGCGUAGAUAUUAGGAGGAACACCAGUGGCGAAGGCGGCUUACUGGACGGUAACUGACGUUGAGGCUCGAAAGCGUGGGGAGCAA
rnacentral:rRNA from 1 species